rnacentral:rRNA from 1 species
UUCCGGAGAGGGAGCCUGAGAAACGGCUACCACAUCCAAGGAAGGCAGCAGGCGCGCAAAUUACCCAAUCCCGACACGGGGAGGUAGUGACAAUAAAUACUGAUACAGGGCUCUUUUGGGUCUUGUAAUUGGAAUGAGUACAAUUUAAAUCCCUUAACGAGGAACAAUUGGAGGGCAAGUCUGGUGCCAGCAGCCGCGGUAAUUCCAGCUCCAAUAGCGUAUAUUAAAGUUGUUGCAGUUAAAAAGCUCGUAGUUGAACCUUGGGCCUGGCUGGCCGGUCCGCCUCACCGCGUGUACUGGUCCGGCCGGGCCUUUCCUUCUGGGGAGCCGCAUGCCCUUCACUGGGCGUGUUGGGGAACCAGGACUUUUACUUUGAAAAAAUUAGAGUGUUCAAAGCAGGCCUUUGCUCGAAUACAUUAGCAUGGAAUAAUAGAAUAGGACGUGCGGUUCUAUUUUGUUGGUUUCUAGGACCGCCGUAAUGAUUAAUAGGGAUAGUCGGGGGCAUCAGUAUUCAAUUGUCAGAGGUGAAAUUCUUGGAUUUAUUGAAGACUAACUACUGCGAAAGCAUUUGCCAAGGAUGUUUUCAUUAAUCAGUGAACGAAAGUUAGGGGAUCGAAGACGAUCAGAUACCGUCGUAGUCUUAACCAUAAACUAUGCCGACUAGGGAUCGGGCGAUGUUAUCAUUUUGACUCGCUCGGCACC